UGGGAAAAGCCCAGAAGGCCCGGAGCUGCCCAGCGCUGGACAGCCAGGCUGUGGUGCGUGCUGGGGGCCUGGGUCCCCGCGGGAGGACCGGGCCGGGGCUGGGUCUGUUUCCUGUCAGCCUGCGGCUGCCUGGACAAGGCAGGAGCUGGGUGCUGGGGGCCUGGGGCGAGGAUGGCUGUGGAGUCAGCAGUCUGAGGCCCGAGAGGCUAAUCACAGAUAAUCACCGAGCAGAACCCGACUCGGGCCAGAGGCGCCCGCAGCCCAAUUAUGAGCAGAACAACUAAUGACAGCCCCUGGCAGGGCCCUGAUUGCUGUUCUCACCCCCACCUCAGGGCUCCAGGGGCCAGCUGCUCCCCACCGUGGGGCAAGAGGCUGGGAGGCCUCCUCCGGCCUGGGGCCAGGGCCUGUGCAGCUGGAGAAACAAGCCGCCGCACAGCUGGCAGAGACCCAAGGCCCAGAACACAGCCCCAGCCAUGUCCACCCGCGGCCCAAGCGCACACCCAGCCAGGGCUCGGCCUCACCCCGCAGCCCGGGGCCUCCCUCCUUUCCACAGCAGGCAGGGGAGGGCAGGACAGACCGCAGCGUCUUGAGCACUUCAUUACGCCAGGAAACUGCAACCCUCCACAUGCAGAUGAGGAAACAGAGGUUCAGAGAAGCUAAGUGCUGAUCCCAAAGUCACACAGCUAAUAAGUUUAAGGAACCCGAUUCAAAUCCAGGGCCCUCUCACUCCAAGUCAGGUUUCGUUUCAGAGUCUGGGAUGUGCGACAUGCUCCAGGGGAAAGGAUGCAUCGGAGGAAACAGGUGAAGAGUUGGAGCCUCCUCCGGGUCUGUGGAAUGGCCCAGUCCCCAACCAGAUACUGGGAAGCGUGGCCGUGGUGGUCAGCGAUCCUGACCGCGGGGCAGCACCAGCCAAACUGCAGAUGGCCAUGAGGCCCAGCAAAGCCCAGCGCGGGUCCAGGAGACCGGAGCCGGCCUCGGCUUGUGCUCAGCUCGGCCCAGACGGCUCUUCACCCUCAGGAUGAAAGAGAAAGGAAGACGGGGGACGGGAGGAGGGAAGGAUGAAAAGAUGGUCUCAUUCUUCAGAUGAGCUCCGCAGGGAUCCUACAGGCCCACUGUGCUCGGCCACUCAGCUGUGCGAGGCCCGGGGGACGCCGUCAAAACGGCUGGCCAACAACCACUGGACAUCAACCACCAGUGGACAUCACGCAGAGAGAGAAGGCCCGAGGCCACACCUGAAGUGCCCCGUCUCCCAGCGCAGGUGGCACAGGCCAAGGCCACUCUAGUGUGAAGUUCAGCUGAGCUCUGGAGAGAGCCAGGAAACCACGUUCUCCAGGAGGAGGCCGUGCACAGGGACAGCCAGACGCUCCUAACACAUCUUGGGGCUCUUGGACCACUGGAUGCCAACCCCACUCAGGCAGGAGUGACAGCUCCCAUAUUGUAUUUCCAGCCAAUCCGCACGUGGUCUGUACCACUCGAUUCACCAAUGAAACUUCACCCUACACCUAUUAUGCAAAUGAGCAAGCCCUCAUGGGUGCUGAUUGGAGAGGAGACCUCAAAACCUCAGAGUUGCCCCUGUGCAUUGUGGGCUUCUGAUCAGUCUCUCAAAUGCUAAUCACGAAUCCUGGGGUCUGUGUUCUUCAAUCUCCUGCCAUCUCCUACCAUCCGACAGUGUAGAUUAAAAGUAAUUCACAGGAUAUGUCACACUGUCUCUCUGAAGUCUUCUCAAGUGAGUCACAGGCAAUUUCACGCCAUUUAAAGAAAAGAGCAAGCUCCACAAAGCCCAGGACUUGAAAGUGGCCUUGGAGCUGGGACUGGAGCCUCCGCUGGAGCAGAAGCUCAGGCACCGUGUCAUUUAAAGAAAAAAACCUUCAGGACUUUGGAGCGUGACACUGAACCGGACUUUGCAUGCUCAUUUGAGUUUUGGAGACUCUUUACCCAGUAGUUGUUGUGCCCAAAAAGAUUUCUCAGAAAUUGACUUUGAGCUUAAACACGCGGAGUUGAAGGUAUCGAAAUCCCAACCUGGUUCUCUCAUAAGCUUUCAAGUUCCAUUACAAAUCUUUUUCUGUUUAUAUCGAGACGAUUUAGCAAGCACGUCCAAGAGCUCUUUGAAGGGUAUUUGGUUCUGGUUACAACAUAAUGAAUUAAACACAACUCAGACAAU